UUAAAACCUCACAGCGAGCGUGGCGUGGGAGAAAAUCAGAGGGGUAGAAUAAGGCAUGUAGAAUCUGGACUCCGAUUUCUGUCAGAAUUCACACUCCUGGCGGACAUACUCCCUGUGGUUUGUGUGGUGUUGAACAAGUCGUGGACCUCUCCCAGCCUCAGCUUCCAGAUCUGUAAAGUCAGACAAGAAUUGGACCCACCUCACAGGCUUGUUGGAGGAUCGCCCAGCUCUACGUCUUCUGAAGCACUCUGUGAACUCCCAAGCGCCUCGCAAACGAUUUAUGAAAUAUCUCAACUAGAUGUGGCAAUGAGAAUGUGCUCAACUGUCUUCAGCAGUGGAAAAGAAAAUGAUAUACUCCAAGACUCUGACUCUGUUACCAGUGCAAGUUAUGAAAAUGUCUCACCUCCCGUCAGCACCCAGACUGCAUCCACCGUCAUGUCUCU
rnacentral:lncRNA from 1 species